rnacentral:rRNA from 1 species
UCCAUCAGACCGUAUUCUAAACCGAUAUAGGUGGACUGGUAGAGUAUACCAAGGCGCUUGAGAGAACCACAUCAAAGGAAUUUGGCAAAUUACCUCCGUAAGUUUGUGAUAAGGAGUCCCCAUAUGUAGGUAACUAUGUGUGGGGGGUAUAAAUUAGGGGGUGGUGACUGUUUAUUUAAAAUAUAGGGCUGUGCGAAGCCGUAAGGCGACGUAUACAGUCUGAUGCCUGUCCGGUGCUGGAAGGUUAAAAGGAGGGGUGCAAGCUCUGAAUUGAAGCCCCAGUAAACGGCGGCUGUAAUAAUAACGGUCCUAAGGUAGCGAAAUUCCUUGUCGGGUAAGUUCCGACCUGUAUGAAUGGUGUAACGAUCUCCCCGCUGUCUUUGAUGUGGACUCAGCGAAAUUGAACUGUCUGUUAAGAUGCAGACUUCCCGCGGUUAGACGGAAAGACCCCAUGCACCUUUACUCUAGCUUUGCAUUGGUAUCAGGAUUGUGAUGUGCAGGAUAGGUGGUAGGCAUCGAAGCGGGGACGCUAGUCUUCGUGGAGCCUCCCUUGAGAUACCACCCUUCGCCAUUCUGAUAUCUAACCGUGGCCCGUUAUUCGGGUCCGGGACCUUGCAUGGUGGGGAGUUUGACUGGGGCGGUCGCCUCCUAAAUUGUAAUGGAGGCGCGCGAAGGUAGGCUCAGACCGGUUGGAAAUCGGUCGUUGAGUGUAAUGGUAGAAGCCUGCCUGACUGCAAGUCUGAUAAGACGAGCAGAGACGAAAGUCGGUCAUAGUGAUCCGGUGGUCCCAAGUGGGUGGGCCAUCGCUCAACGGAUAAAAGGUACGCUGGGGAUAACAGGCUGAUGAUGCCCAAGAGUUUAUAUCGACGGCAUCGUUUGGCACCUCGAUGUCGGCUCAUCUCAUCCUGGGGCUGGAGUAGGUCCCAAGGGUAUGGCUGUUUGCCAUUUAAAGAGGUAUGUGAGCUGGGUUUAGAACGUCGUGAGACAGUUCGGUCCCUAUCUGCCGUGGGUGUAGGAGACUUGAGAAGAGUUGCCCCUAGUACGAGAGGACCGGGGUGAACGAAUUAUUGGUGGACCAGUUAUCGUGUUAACGGUAGUGCUGGGUAGCUAUGUUCGGACAGGAUAACCGCUGAAGGUAUCUAAGCGGGAAGCCCCCUUCAAAAUAAGGUCUCCCUUGAGAGCCGUGGAAGAUUACCACGUCGAUAGGCCAGAGGUGUAAGAGCGGUAACGCUUUUAGCUGAUUGGUACUAAUUGCUUAA